rnacentral:lncRNA from 1 species
UCCGUGCCCCCAAGUACGAGCCAUGCAUGACGUUGCAUGGCUCCAACCCUAAUUCUACCUCUCCUAUAUAAAGGGAACACUCCUUCAAGCUAAAGGUAACGUAUCCUCUCUAUUCUCACCAUUCUCACCACUUCACUCACUGACUUUAGCAUCGGAGUGUCUUGCAGGAGCCCCUCCCGGGACCUUGCCAGCUUGGAGUCCUUCAGCUCGUCCAGAUCCCCUCACCUACCCCUCGUCAACGGGUAGUUUGGUCUCUC